GAGAAAACCUCAUCUUGCAUAGCUUUUAAACUGGGGUCUUGCACAGCAUAGAAGGCCUGCUUACUUCAAGAACUGAAAAUCUGGAGGAUGGAUUGCUGCGUCUGGGAGUGGAAUAAUGCAGAAGAAUAAGAAAUGCUAGGGAACUUUGUGGGGGUUACUGGCAUGCACG